rnacentral:siRNA from 1 species
GACCCGGGUUCGAUUCCCGGC